rnacentral:rRNA from 1 species
AUGAACGCUGGCGGCGUGCCUAAUACAUGCACGUCGAGCGAACAGACGAGGAGCUUGCUCCUCUGACGUUAGCGGCGGACGGGUGAGUAACACGUGGAUAACCUACCUAUAAGACUGGGAUAACUUCGGGAAACCGGAGCUAAUACCGGAUAAUAUAUUGAACCGCAUGGUUCAAUAGUGAAAGACGGUUUUGCUGUCACUUAUAGAUGGAUCCGCGCCGCAUUAGCUAGUUGGUAAGGUAACGGCUUACCAAGGCAACGAUGCGUAGCCGACCUGAGAGGGUGAUCGGCCACACUGGAACUGAGACACGGUCCAGACUCCUACGGGAGGCAGCAGUAGGGAAUCUUCCGCAAUGGGCGAAAGCUUGACGGAGCAACGCCGCGUGAGUGAUGAAGGUCUUCGGAUCGUAAAACUCUGUUAUUAGGGAAGAACAAAUGCGUAAGUAACUAUGCACGUCUUGACGGUACCUAAUCAGAAAGCCACGGCUAACUACGUG